GCCAGGCGUGGUGGCACAUGCCUGUAAUCCCGGUGGCUCAGGAGGCUGAGGCAGGAAGAUUGAGAAUUCAAAGGCAGCCUCAAUAAUUUAGUGAGGCCCUAAGCAACUCAGUAAGACCCUGUCUCUA
rnacentral:sRNA from 1 species